UGCCCCAUGGCUGAGUUGGUUACAGCGUCCGACUGUUAUGUCCAGCAGAUCUGAUCAGCGUUAUCAUUCACUAUCGGAAGGUCGAGAGUUCGAGCCUCUCUGGGGCAG